CUCUAGUAUUAAAGAUCGGGACACGCCGGGCGUAAGAGCAGACCGGUAAAAUUAAGUAAAGGGGAAAGGGGAAGAAAUAGAACAUCAGCAACAUGAGCAAGCCAGCACAGCAAGCCAUUGGAAUAGAUCUUGGUACCACAUAUUCCUGUGUUGGAGUUUUCCAGCAUGGGAAGGUGGAAAUCAUCGCCAACGAUCAGGGUAACCGAACCACCCCCAGUUAUGUAGCGUUCACAGACACAGAAAGGCUGGUCGUCGACUAAUUAUCUAAUACUCAAUGCUGUACGGGAAAAAUUGACUUGCUACAACGUGUCCUUUAUUACUUAUCUCAAUGCUAUCAAGAGAAUAAAAGACUUGUUAACAAUCUCUACACUAUCAAAGGAGAACAAGACUAAUUUAAUGUGUUCUGAAAUACUAAUCUCUUAUUAUCUAUCAAGAGAAAAUUGACUUGUUGCAAUGUGUCUUUUGCUGAUGUUGAUUAAAAGUUGAAAAAAAUUG
rnacentral:misc_RNA from 1 species